rnacentral:rRNA from 1 species
GACGAACGCUGGCGGCGUGCUUAACACAUGCAAGUCGAACGGAAAGGCCCUGCUUUUGUGGGGUGCUCGAGUGGCGAACGGGUGAGUAACACGUGAGUAACCUGCCCUUGACUUUGGGAUAACUUCAGGAAACUGGGGCUCAUACCGGAUAGGAGCUCCUGCUGCAUGGUGGGGGUUGGAAAGUUUCGGCGGUUGGGGCUGGACUCGCGGCUUAUCAGCUUGAUGGUGGGGUAGUGGCUUACCAAGGCUUUGACGGGUAGCCGGCCUGAGAGGGUGACCGGCCACAUUGGGACUGAGAUACGGCCCAGUCUCCUACGGGAGGCAGCAGUGGGGAAUAUGGCGCAAUGGGCGGAAGCCUGAUGCAGCAACGCCGCGUGCGGGAUGACGGCCUUCGGGUUGUAAACCGCUUUCGCCUGUGACGAAGCGUGAGUGACGGUAAUGGGUAAAGAAGCACCGGCUAACUACGUG